rnacentral:rRNA from 1 species
UACGUAGGGGGCAAGCGUUGUCCGGAUUUAUUGGGCGUAAAGAGCGUGUAGGCGGCCAGGUAGGUCGGUUGUGAAAACUGGAGGCUCAACCUCCAGACGUCGACGGAAACCGUGUGGCUAGAGUCCGGAAGAGGAGAGUGGAAUUCCUGGUGUAGCGGUGAAAUGCGCAGAUAUCAGGAAGAACACCAAUGGCGAAGGCAGCUCUCUGGGACGGUACUGACGCUGAGACGCGAAAGCGUGGGGAGCGAACAGG